rnacentral:lncRNA from 1 species
AAGCUGAAGGAGCUGCAGGCUAUCCGCUGAGCGCCUGGGCUGCUCCCUCCCGCAGCUGGCAAUAGGUCCUUCCCAAACUGUCAUCUUCCAUUGUCCAUGAGAUCGACAGCAUUCUGGGCAACAAACCCUACAGCAAAAGGACUACAGAUCCUAAGUUGUCCCGCUGCCCACCAGGACAGUUUCCGGCCCCUCCUCAUCUGUUCGCUGCUUAUGCUGUUUCCACACCAAGUGCAGAGUGGGUUUGCAUCUGAGAGAACCCGCCGUGCCCAAACACCACCGGACACGACCUGCCGGUUGCCUUCAGACACCACCCGCUGCUUUGCCGGACGCUGUCAGGUCUCCGGGGACAGCCGUAGCCUGCGCAGCUCCUCCUCGGGGAAGAAACCCAGUUUGUACCCAGCCUUUCAUGGAGACUCCCAAAGCCAAGGUCAGGCCAAGACCUGGCUGGGUCCUCAGGUCAGGCAGGGUGGGCCUCUCCUCUGCCGAGAACCCCAGACCUGGGGAAGUGGUCUGGCACUUCCUGGGGGCCCCUCUGCCAGGGCCCCAGUGGGCAGGGUGGGGCCUCCCCUUGGAGUUUCUCCAGUCCCCCUCUUCCCAUGGGCUCCAGGCACAUUGCUGGGCCCUGACCCCAGGCACCUCCACCACUCUCUCCCACCCCGAUCCAGCCCUGUGCCCACUGGGCCUUGGCAGGGUCAUGGCUACCAGCUGGCCCUUGGGCCCACCUUAACCCUUGCUGGCAGGGGCAGGGACCCCAGGGGAUUGGGUGUGUGGUUGGGGACCCACAGAAAUUUGGGGAUCUGAUUUCUGGCUAAUCAUCCCGUUGUGUUCAACCCUGUACACAAUCAAAGAGCCCCUGCCAGGAGGCCAGGGCACUUGGGAAGGAGCCCUGGGGAGCAGGCCCCUCUGUCCUGACCCAGAAGGCCGAUGCCAAGCACUAUGACCUGGACCAUGGCUGCAGGCCACAUGGCGGGCAGGGGAGCAGGCCGGGCCCCGCGCACUUGACUGUGUUCCUCUAGGUUAGCAGGGUCCCUCCUCUAACACUCCCUGCCCGCGCCAGGGUGAUGGCUUGGGUUCUGAAGAGGCCAUGCUCAGCCCCUUUCAGGGAAGGUCUCUGGGGUUUCCAUGCUGCAGGUGCAGGGGCUGGGGGCUGCACCAAAGCAGCAACACACGCCAUGUAGGAAAAAGAACUCAGGGACCCGCGCCCAGGAGAGAUGGCCGGGCUGUUCAUUCCCUUCCACACCCGCUCACCUAGGAUGGUCAGAAGGGAGGGAGGGACACUCAGGCAGAGCGUCAGACCCUUAGCAGCAAGGGGCUGAAGAGAGGGUGACAGCCCAGUGGCCCACAGGUGUGAGGCCAUGUGCUGCCUGGCCACGGUCCUGUGUGGGACCCAGCCUUCUCUAUGUAGGACCAGGGCUGUGCAGAAGCCAUGCCCCUACCCUAGCUAUACCAGCUGGCCCCAGGGAGGACCCCGCUCCUCCACCCCAGUGGGUGUCAUCCACCCACACCCUCCGUGCAGGUGCAGGAACAUCUGUCCUGCCACGCCCUUUGGUGGAGCUGACAUUCCAGCAGGCUUCCCCCUGCCCCUGUCCAGGCUGGGUGGAGACCUGGGACCGUGGCUGGAAGAAACCCACUGAGACACAGGCAGAGGAGGUGGUCGUGGAAGAGGGAGCCAGGGCACCUGGCUUCCUCCGUCUCCCAGGGCGGCCGGCCGGCCCUGGAGUCCAGAACCCCCACACUGCCCCUGGACCAGACCCUGGGGCUCUUCUCCACCAAGCUCUGCCAUGAGCUUCAACCAGAAGCCACCCUGUCAGUGUCCAGAGGGGGCAGUGUCCCUCUAAG